CCUACGGGAGGCAGCAGUAAGGAAUAUUGGUCAAUGGGCGCAAGCCUGAACCAGCCAUGCCGCGUGCAGGAAGACGGCCCUAUGGGUUGUAAACUGCUUUUGAACAAGAGAAAACCUCGGUACGUGUACCGAGCUGAUAGUAUUGUUAGAAUAAGCAUCGGCUAACUUCGUGCCAGCAGCCGCGGUAAGACGAAGGAUGCAAGCGUUAUCCGGAUUCAUUGGGUUUAAAGGGUGCGUAGGCGGCCUGAUAAGUCAGUGGUGAAAUCUCUCAGCUUAACUGAGAAACUGCCAUUGAUACUGUCGGGCUUGAGUACAGAUGAUGUGGGCGGAAUAUGACAUGUAGUGGUGAAAUACUUAGAUAUGUCAUAGAACACCGAUUGCGAAGGCAGCUCACAAAACUGUAACUGACGCUGAGGCACGAAAGUGCGGGGAUCAAACAGGAUUAGAUACCCUGGUAGUCCGCACCGUAAACGAUGAUUACUCGUUGUUGGCAAUAUGACCGUCAGCGACCAAGCGAAAGCGAUAAGUUAAUUCACCUUGGGGAGUACGCCGGCACGGUGAAACUUCAAANAGAGUUAGAGNGNGNGAGNGCGAGGACGACACGAGGAGUAG
rnacentral:rRNA from 1 species